rfam:Mesocricetus auratus contig088677, whole genome shotgun sequence.
GUUUGCCUUUUUGCACAUAUACUAAAAUUGGAAAGAUACAGAGAAGAUUAGCAUGGCCCCUGCGCAAGGAUAACACACAAAAUGGUAUUUU